rfam:Erinaceus europaeus unplaced genomic scaffold scaffold00043, whole genome shotgun sequence
AGAUGUGAGGGUGAUCUGCUGCAACAUCUGUCACCCCACUGACCACCAGAUUUGAUUCAGCUGAUCUGGCUGGCUAGGCGAGUGUCCCCUUUCUCCUCACUGCUCCAUGUGCAUCCCUCCAGAAGAUGCGCGUGUGGUCAAAGAGGAUGGCCUUCCCUGAAUAGAGGCAGACCAGUCUUCAGUCGAGGGUAUACCAGUAACUGCGAUCCCCUGCUAGAACCUCCAAACAAGCUCUCAAAGAUGAAUCUUCACAAGUGGCCAAGCUAUGCUACGUUAUCUCUCCUUCUCUCUCCACCUCUGUUUCUGU